ensembl:Y_RNA Y_RNA Y RNA
GGCUGCUCUGAAGAUGGUGAGUAUCUCAACCGUUCCCAGUCAAACUUCUUCCACUCUUUCUCCCUGUCUCACUACUGCACUUGACUGGUCUUAA